rnacentral:rRNA from 1 species
UACAGAGGGGGCAAGCGUUAUUCGGAAUUAUUGGGCGUAAAGCGCACGUAGGCGGCUUGGCAAGUCGGAUGUGAAAUCCCUCGGCUCAACCAAGGAAGUGCAUCCGAAACUGCCGAGCUUGAGUACUUAAGAGGAUCGCGGAAUUCCCGGUGUAGAGGUGAAAUUCGUAGAUAUCGGGAGGAACACCAGUGGCGAAGGCGGCGAUCUGGGAAGAUACUGACGCUGAGGUGCGAAAGCGUGGGGAGCAAACAGG